UAAACUUGAGGUAUAUAUCGGGGAGAGC
rnacentral:piRNA from 1 species